rnacentral:tmRNA from 1 species
GGGGUUGUACUGGUUUCGACGGGGAUUUUGAAGUUAUGGAAGCCAUCCGCAGACCAGGACUGCGCAUCAACUUGGACUUAAAAUUAAACGCAAACAAUAAAGUUGCAUUAGCUGCCUAGUUGCGGCUUGUCGGCUCCGGAUUGCCCGCUAUCCGGAAUCCCGGCAUCGAUCUUAGCGGGGCCCUCGUGUUUCAAAGCUUUGCGAAGCAUGUAGUAUGAUGAAGCUACUAAAGUCUUAAGCCUGUCUUUGGGCGUGAGAUGGAGGGAAUGUCAAAUCAGAGACUGUGAUGGGAGAUGCCGUAAUGAAUAGGUUUUCGGACAGGGGUUCGAUUCCCCUCAGCUCCAUUU